rnacentral:lncRNA from 1 species
UUUAGGGUUUAGGGUUCGGAUUAGGGUUUGGAUUAGGAUUUAGUUUAGGAUUUGGAUUAGAUUUUGGUUUAGGGUUUGGUUUAGGAUUUAGGGUUUGGAUUAGGAUUUGAUUUAGGAUUUGAUUAGGGUUUGAUUUAGGAUUUAGAAUUUGGUUAAGGUUUGAUUUAGGAUUUGGUUAUAGUUUGAUUUAGGAUUUAGGAUUUUAUUAGGAUUUAAGAUUCAAUUAGUUUGGCUUAAAGUUUGAAUGAAGUUCAAUAGGAUUUUAACUAGAAUUAAAUUAAGAUUGAAUUGAGAUGUAUUUGAAUGACAUUUGUGUUCUUUCUAAUGUUUCUUUAAAAAUUCCUAUUGUUUGUUUAAAAUUUCUUUGAGAUUUUUUUGAAUUUGAUUAAGCUUGCUUAGCAUUAUUAUAGUCUAAUUAGAGCAUUGUUAGUAUUCUAUUA